AGCGUGCAUCUAGAGUUACUUGGUGCUGUCUCUUCUACUUGACGAAGGUUUAUAAGCCUAUUUUGAGCACACAAGCCUUUACGUAAUUGCAAUAACGUGCAUCUAAAAACGUAAUUUCACGCGCAUAUUUUGUAAAUAACAUAACGUGUUAUAAUUCCUAAAUAAUAUAAUUCAUUGCGAGAGUGUGCUGAGUUCUAAGUUUCAAUCCAAAGGCAUACCGGGCAGUGGUACUUAACUGGACGUGUUUCGAACAAUUACCAAAGCAACUAUGUAAUUCUCAACAUUCAUCGGAGGAAGUCAAUAUCGUUCAUUCGCAGUUCAAAGAGUUCCCCAGAAAGCGGAGAAUAACGAAUGCAAACUUUGAUCCUCCUCCCCUUCUUCUCGAAGAGUAUCAUGUGCGGAGAAUUCCGGAUGCCAACUUGAAUCUUCUUUUCCUUCCACUGGAGUAUUGCAGCGAUGAAGAGUCAAAAUCUUUAUUAAUGGCGAGAGGUGUUUUUUUAGAAGCAAUAGACUUCCUUUGCAACUAAGGAAGAUAUCGAGUAUUACACCACCAACCCCCUCUUACAAAAAGUGUACGCCAUGGGUCUUUUGUAGCCAAAAGAUUGAGAUUCUCAACAUAUUUUAAUGGCUGAAUGAUAGGUGCGAUUUGCACUGAAAAGUUUUCUUGCUGUUUUGCAAUAAAUAUUUAAAUAUUAUGUAAUUUAAUAAAUUUUUCUCUCUAAAACUUA